rnacentral:misc_RNA from 1 species
GAUGAAGAACGCAGCGAAAUGCGAUAAGUAAUGUGAAUUGCAGAAUUCAGUGAAUCAUCGAAUCUUUGAACGCACAUUGCGCCCCUUGGUAUUCCGAGGGGCAUGCCUAUUCGAGCGUCAUUAUCACCCCUCAAGCCUAGCUUGGUGUUGAGGCCUGCUGUCAAGGCAGCCUCUAAAAUCAGUGGCAGUGCUGUCAGGCUCUAUGCGUAGUAAAUCUAAUCGCUAUAGACACCUGGUGGACACUCGCCAGAACCCCCCCAUUUUUUAAUGAUUGACCUCGGAUUAGGUAGGGAUACCCGCUGAACUUAAGCAUAUCAAUAAGCGGAGGA